rfam:Oryza glumipatula chromosome 6, whole genome shotgun sequence.
AUUGACAAACCCUGGUUUCCAUGUCCAACGUUUGACCGUCUGUCUUAUUUGAAAAAAUUAUGAAAAAAAUUAAAAAGACAAGUCACGCAUAAAGUAUUAAUCAUGUUUUAUCAUCUAACAACAAUGAAAAUACUAAUUAUAAAAAAUUUUCAUAUAAGACGGCCAGUCAACCGUUGGACAUAGAAAUUCAGGGUUUAUUUUUUU